rnacentral:tRNA from 1 species
GAGGGUAUAGCUCAGUGGUAGAGCGUAUGCUUAGCAUACACUAAGUCCUGGGUUCAACCCCAGUACCUCCA